rnacentral:rRNA from 1 species
UACGUAGGGUGCAAGCGUUGUCCGGAAUUAUUGGGCGUAAAGAGCUUGUAGGCUGUUUGUCGCGUCUGCUGUGAAAUUUCGGGGCUCAACCCCGAACUUGCAGUGGGUACGGGCAGACUAGAGUGUGGUAGGGGAGACUGGAAUUCCUGGUGUAGCGGUGAAAUGCGCAGAUAUCAGGAGGAACACCGAUGGCGAAGGCGGGUCUCUGGGCCGAUACUGACGCUGAGGAGCGAAAGCGUGGGGAGCGAACAGG